rnacentral:lncRNA from 1 species
GCCACCUUCUCUUGGCAGAGCUCGAACCCCUUUAUGAACGCUUCCUGGCCAAAUUGGACCUUCAGGUCCCUCAUCUCCACGGAGGCCUUGAAUUCCUCUACCACAAGGGCUCUGGCCUCCGAGACCAGGACCAAAAUUUGCUCGGCCAAGUUGGCGACCUCGGCCUCCGCCUUUCUCGCCGAUUCCUCCAAGGUCUGCCUCUCCUCCUCCCG